AAUAGAACCUGAAACCGUAUGCCUACAAACAGUCGAAGCUCUUUUUAGAGUGACGGCGUACCUUUUGUAUAAUGGGUCAGUGACUUAAUUUAUCCAGCAAGCUUAAGCCGUAAGGUGUAGGCGUAGCGAAAGCGAGUCUUAAAUGGGCGCAAGUUGUAUGAAUUAGACCCGAAAACGAAUGAGCUUACCAUGAGCAGGUUGAAAGCAGGGUAACACUUGCCGGAGGACCGAACCAGUUGACGUUGAAAAGUCUUUGGAUGACUUGUGGUAAGGGGUGAAAGGCCAACCAAAUUCGUAGAUAGCUGGUUUUCCGCGAAAACUAUUUAGGUAGUGCGUUGAGUAAAUUGAUGUUUGGAGGUAGAGCACUAAAGGGGCUAGGGGAGAGAAAUCUUUACCAACCCUCAUAAAACUCCGAAUGCCAAACAUUUUACCUCAGCAGACAGACUGUGGGUGCUAAGGUCCAUGGUCGAAAGGGAAAAAGCCCAGAUCACCAGAUAAGGUCCCUAAAUCAUGAUUAAGUGUGAAAGGAUGUGGAGAUUCCUAAACAGCCGGGAGGUUGGCUUAGAAGCAGCCAUCCUUUAAAGAUAGCGUAACAGCUCACCGGUCUAAUAGAGUUUCUGCGCCAAAGAUGUAACGGGGCUCAAAUCAUGUACCGAAUCUGUGGAUUUAUAAUUUCUUCGGAAAUUAUAUCUGGUAGCGGAACGUUCUGUAAGCCUGUAAAGGGAUACCCGUGAGGGAUCCUGGAGGUAUCAGAAGUGCGAAUGCUGACAUAAGUAACGAUUAACAGAGUGAAAAACUCUGUCGCCGAAAAUCCAAGGGUUCCUGCGCAAGGUUAAUCCGCGCAGGGUUAGUCGGUCCCUAAGUCGAGGGCGAGAGCCGUAGACGAUGGAAACAAGGUUAAUAUUCCUUGACCCGAUGGUAGUGACGGAUUACGUAAAUUGUUAACUCUUAUUGGAUUGAGUUAGCUGUGAAGUAGUCCCAGGAAAUAGCUCCAUCAUAGGACCGUACCCGAAACCGACACAGGUGGAUUAUUAGAGUAUAAUUAGGCGCUUGAGAGAAUGAUGUUGAAGGAACUCGGCAAAAUGCCUCCGUAACUUCGGAAGAAGGAGGACCCAUUUUAAGGCAACUUUAAGUGGGUGGCACAAGCUAGGGAGAUGCGACUGUUUAUCAAAAACACAGGGCUCUGCUAACACGUAAGUGGAUGUAUAGGGUCUGACGCCUGCCCGGUGCUGGAAGGUUAAUGCGAUCAGUGCAAGCUGAUUUCUGAAGCCCCAGUGAACGGCGGCCGUAACUAUAACGGUCCUAAGGUAGCGAAAUUCCUUGUCGGGUAAGUUCCGACCUGCAUGAAUGGCGUAACGAUAUCUCCGCUGUCUCCAACAUCAACUCAGUGAAAUUGAAUUCUC
rnacentral:rRNA from 1 species